rnacentral:rRNA from 1 species
GAUGAACGCUAGCGGCAGGCCUAACACAUGCAAGUCGAGGGGCAGCACGUCUUCGGAUGGUGGCGACCGGCGCACUGGUGCGUAACGCGUAUGCAACCUACCUCUUACAGUGGGAUAGCCCAGAGAAAUUUGGAUUAAUACCGCAUAGUAUACAGAUUCAGCAUUGGGACUGUAUUAAACAUUUAUGGGUAAGAGAUGGGCAUGCGUUCUAUUAGUUAGUUGGAGUGGUAACGGCACCCCAAGACAGCGAUAGAUAGGGGCCCGUCGAGAGGGGGAGUCCCCCACCACUGGUACUGAGACACGGACCAGACUCCUACGGGAGGCAGCAGUGAGGAAUAUUGGACAAUGGGCGAGAGCCUGAUCCAGCCAUGCCGCGUGCAGGAAGAC